rnacentral:rRNA from 1 species
AGCGAACGCUGGCGGCAGGCCUAACACAUGCAAGUCGAACGGACCCUUCGGGGUUAGUGGCGGACGGGUGAGUAACACGUGGGAACGUGCCUUUAGGUUCGGAAUAGCUCCUGGAAACGGGUGGUAAUGCCGAAUGUGCCCUUCGGGGGAAAGAUUUAUCGCCUUUAGAGCGGCCCGCGUCUGAUUAGCUAGUUGGUGAGGUAACGGCUCACCAAGGCGACGAUCAGUAGCUGGUCUGAGAGGAUGACCAGCCACACUGGGACUGAGACACGGCCCAGACUCCUACGGGAGGCAGCAGUGGGGAAUCUUGCGCAAUGGGCGAAAGCCUGACGCAGCCAUGCCGCGUGAAUGAUGAAGGUCUUAGGAUUGUAAAAUUCUUUAACCGGGGACGAUAAUGACGGUACCCGGAGAAGAAGCCCCGGCUAACUUCGUG